rnacentral:rRNA from 1 species
AUUGAACGCUGGCGGCAGGCCUAACACAUGCAAGUCGAGCGGAUGACGGGAGCUUGCUCCUUGAUUCAGCGGCGGACGGGUGAGUAAUGCCUAGGAAUCUGCCUGGUAGUGGGGGACAACGUUUCGAAAGGAACGCUAAUACCGCAUACGUCCUACGGGAGAACGCAGUGGACCUUCGGCCCUUGCGCUAUCAGAUGAGCCUAGGUCGGAUUAGCUAGUAGGUGAGGUAAUGGCUCACCUAGGCGACGAUCCGUAACUGGUCUGAGAGGAUGAUCAGUCACACUGGAACUGAGACACGGUCCAGACUCCUACGGGAGGCAGCAGUGGGGAAUAUUGGACAAUGGGCGAAAGCCUGAUCCAGCCAUGCCGCGUGUGUGAAGAAGGUCUUCGGAUUGUAAAGCACUUUAAGUUGGGAGGAAGGGUUGUACGUUAAUACCGUGCAAUUUUGACGUUACCGACAGAAUAAGCACCGGCUAACUCUGUGCCAGCCGCCGCUGUAACAC